rnacentral:rRNA from 1 species
AACGAACGCUGGCGGCAUGCCUAACACAUGCAAGUCGAACGAGACCUUCGGGACUAGUGGCUCACGCGUGCGUAAAGUGUGGGAACCUGCCCUUAGGUUUGGAAUUCCACUCUGACGGGGGUGCUAAUAUCGGAUAAUGUAUUCGAAUAAAAGAUUCAUCGUCUUUGGAUGAGCACGCGUUGGAUUAGCUUGUGGGUAGGGGAAAAGCCUAUCACGGCGAGGCUCCAUAGCUGGUUUCAGAGGAUGAGCAGCCACACUGAGACUAGGACGCGGCACGGACUCCUACGGGAUGCAGCAAUGGGUAAUAUUGGACUAUCGGCGGAAGCCUGAAGCAGCUAGGCCUCGUGAGUGAUGAAGGCCUUAGAGUUAUAAAGCUCGUUUACCCGGGAUUAUAAUGACGGUACCGAAAGAAUAAGCACCGGCUAACUCCGUG